rnacentral:rRNA from 1 species
UGGAGAGUUUGAUCCUGGCUCAGAUUGAACGCUGGCGGCAGGCUUAACACAUGCAAGUCGAGCGGGGGAAAGUAGCUUGCUACUUUACCUAGCGGCGGACGGGUGAGUAAUGCUUAGGAAUCUGCCUAUUAGUGGGGGACAACAUUCCGAAAGGGAUGCUAAUACCGCAUACGUCCUACGGGAGAAAGCAGGGGAUCACUUGUGACCYUGCGCUAAUAGAUGAGCCUAAGUCGGAUUAGCUAGUUGGUGGGGUAAAGGCCUACCAAGGCGACGAUCUGUAGCGGGUYUGAGAGGAUGAUCCGCCACACUGGGACUGAGACACGGCCCAGACUCCUACGGGAGGCAGCAGUGGGGAAUAUUGGACAAUGGGGGGAACCCUGAUCCAGCCAUGCCGCGUGUGUGAAGAAGGCCUUAUGGUUGUAAAGCACUUUAAGCGAGGAGGAGGCUACUCUGGUUAAUACCCAGAGAUAGUGGACGUUACUCGCAGAAUAAGCACCGGCUAACUCUGUGCCAGCAGCCGCGGUA